AGUGAACGCUGGCGGUAGGCCUAACACAUGCAAGUCGAACGGCAGCACAGUAAGAGCUUGCUCUUACGGGUGGCGAGUGGCGGACGGGUGAGGAAUACAUCGGAAUCUACUUUUUCGUGGGGGAUAACGUAGGGACACUUACGCUAAUACCGCAUACGACCUACGGGUGAAAGCAGGGGAUCUUCGGACCUUGCGCGAUUGAAUGAGCCGAUGUCGGAUUAGCUAGUUGGCGGGGUAAAGGCCCACCAAGGCGACGAUCCGUAGCUGGUCUGAGAGGAUGAUCGGCCACACUGGAACUGAGACACGGUCCAGACUCCUACGGGAGGCAGCAGUGGGGAAUAUUGGACAAUGGGCGCAAGCCUGAUCCAGCCAUACCGCGUGGGUGAAGAAGGCCUUCGGGUUGUAAAGCCCUUUUGUUGGGAAAGAAAAGCAGCAGGUUAAUACCCCGCUGUUCUGACGGUACCCAAAGAAUAAGCACCGGCUAACUUCGUG
rnacentral:rRNA from 1 species